AGAGUUUGAUCCUGGCUCAGAUUGAACGCUGGCGGCGUGCCUAACACAUGCAAGUCGAGCGGUAACAGGUGUAGCAAUACAUGCUGACGAGCGGCGAACGGGUGAGUAAUGCUUUGGAAUCUUCCCAGUAGUGGGGAACAACCAGUCGAAAGAUUGGCUAAUACCGCAUACGUCUGUGAAGAGAAAAGCGGGGGAUCGUAAGACCUCGCGCUAUUGGAUGAGCCAAAGUCGGAUUAGCUUGUUGGUGAGGUAAUGGCUCACCAAGGCGACAAUCCGUAGCUGGUCUGAGAGGACGACCAGCCACACCGGAACUGAGACACGGUCCGGACUCCUACGGGAGGCAGCAGUGGGGAAUAUUGGACAAUGGGGGAAACCCUGAUCCAGCGACGCCGCGUGUGUGAAGAAGGCCUGCGGGUUGUAAAGCACUUUUAGUGGGGACAA
rnacentral:rRNA from 1 species